UACGUAGGUGGCAAGCGUUGUCCGGAAUUAUUGGGCGUAAAGCGCGCGCAGGCGGUCCUUUAAGUCUGAUGUGAAAGCCCACGGCUCAACCCGUGGAGGGUCAUUGGAAACUGGGGGACUUGAGUGCAGGAGAGAAGAGUGGAAUUCCACGUGUAGCGGUGAAAUGCGUAGAGAUGUGGAGGAACACCGGUGGCGAAGGCGGCGAUCCUGGACCAAUUCUGACACUGAGGAGCGAAAGCCAGGGAGGCAAACGGGA
rnacentral:rRNA from 1 species